UGUUGUGGUAAUGUUAUUUCAACCUGCUAGCUAGCAGAUAGAUGAUGCUAAUCUUAGCUGUGGUAAUGUCAUUUCUACCUGCUAGCGAGCUAAAUCUGGUUAAAACAUUAGGUAACAAAGUAAGAUUAAUUACUGCAGAUUAAUCACUGUAUUUGAGUGAUUGUUAAUGGUUAGUGGUUAUCUUUCAAAUGAUGCCUGUGAGGCACUUGACGUUGAGACUGGUUGACUUCCAGGCUGCUUUGGAAUAAGGAUACCUCUGAGGCAGCCACCAGUUUUUGGAUAACUCUGAGGCAUCAUAGGUAGUGUUGACUGCCAGGCUGCCUAGUCGUUGGUAUACAGGUUAACUCACAGGCAUCCAGUUGGUUUUAGAUACCUGUAAGGCAUCUAGACGGACAUUAAGAGGGGCUGACUCCCAGGCUGCUUCCUAACACUGGUUAGCUCUCAGGCAGCCAAUUAGCUUUGGAUGCCUGUGAGGCACUUGAUGUUGAGACACUUGAUGUUGAGACUGGUUGACUGUAGACUGAUAUCCCUUAGUUAAAUUGUCCUCAUGCCUCCUCAUACAGAUAGGCCUAUUGAAUAAAUCUGCCAGAUUAUUUUUAACAUUGCAUAUGCCUAACAUUAUGUGAUAAUACUAAUCACACUCAUAUUGCCUUUCUCUUUCAGUUCAUGAAGAAAUGGCGCCCAGGAAGGUAGGAUGGAAGCGGAAGGCCCUGCAGGUGUCAAAAGGUGGACCAUCUGCAAAGAUCGCAAUUUUCCACCAGUCACCACUGGUUGGUGGAGCCUCCGCCCCAGCCCCAACCCCAUCUAGCCCUGCUGCUCCAUCCACCCUUCCUGCCCCAUCCGGCCCUGCUGCUCCACCAAGCCCUACUGCCCCAUCCCAGCCGGCAUUUCAGAAUGUCCACAGCCUUUUGAGGACAUGCUCAGGGCAUCGGAGCAAAAGGUGAAGUGCACAGCUAGGCAUAGGUUUCUUCAAGACAGGUUUAUAUUUUUAGUGGUAGUGUGGUAGUAACAGUGCUGAGACCAUUUGUGAUGGGAUCUGGGAAAACCAGUCACAUGGUGAAAUUUGACCUUUUGGAAGCUGACUUCAAGCUUGUUUCAAAUAUGUUUUCAUUAUUUGUCUGUUUCAAAUGUUAUGAUUGCCCAAAGUCAGCUGAUCAGUUAGAUUUCAUGGAAUAGAAUUUUG